AGCAUUCUCUUGCAUUCAACCUGGGGAACGAGACAGCACCUGGUUUCACACUCACAAGGCAUGAGACUGUGUGCAGCCAGAACGACCAGCAGGGGGUGCAAAGGCCACUCCAGGCACCUGCUGGCCUCAGAGAAAUCAGCAAAUCAGGAAAUCAGGAAGCCCACUCCUGCUAUCCUUUCUCUGCAAGGAAAUGUGCCAGGGGACUGCAGCCCAGAGAGUCUGCAGUAGAGGACUCAUGAAGCAGCUGGAAAUCUAGGAGCAGAAGCCCAGCAUAAUGAUCUCUGAAAGCCUGGAUGCACGGAUUCCUCUCUUACUUCCCAAAACCGUGGGGUAGAAAUGGGAGUAUCAGCAUGCUGCACAGACUUCCACAGAUGUCCAGGGAACUGAAUUUCCAGAAGUUAUCAUCUAUGUUCUUUCCCAACCCCCGCUUCAGUUUACAUAUCGCAGGCGUGUUUGUUGAAAAGCAGUCAGCUAGAAAAUAAGAGUGGCUAUAACCUGUGCUGCCCAGUGAUCAGGGAAAGAGAGCGGAUGAAACUUCGAUGACUUUCUGUUAGUCUGAUGAAUAUCCAUGCCAAAUGUAAGAUUAGUUGAAGGCCUUAUCGCUUCCCACCAAAAUGUUCCUUCACUUGCUGUAGAGUACAUUGAAAUGUAAAGUUAUGGGUUUGUUUAACAGUUUAAUUUGUCAGUGGGCAUUCAGCUCUUCUAUUUGUGUUUUUACUUUGAGCUUAGUAGGAGCAGACAAAUAGAGGUGACCCCUGUUUUCUUCCCGAAGCCAUUUUUCAGGGCAGAAGUGCCUUAACCACUUCAUUGAGAAACCACCUUUGCAUGCAGUACCCUGAGUUGGCUUCAGCACGCCAAGCUCCACACCCUGGGAAACACCCUGCUUUCCAGGUUGUUUUAAUCCCAGUGCUCAUGAGUAAGGACAUGUCCUGUCUCUUGUCCAUGAAAAUACUCCCACAAAACGAAGUCACACCCAGGAUCUGUUAACGGAGAUACUGAGUGGGUGAAGGAGACUCAUUCCCUGAUGCAAUUCAGGUCACACAAAGUAAAAAAGAAAACAAAAACCCUUUUCUGUUGAGGAUACAGAUGCGAAGAAAAUGGAAAAUGCCUUUCAAAAUGCACAAGCCUAGUUUUCUAAUUAUGUUUCGGUGAACAUGCCGGUGAACUUACCUGUGUGGCUUGGUAUUGAGGUGGGUUUUCAGCUACUUCUCCACCAAAUCCUUUGAAAAGCAGCAGUGGCAGAAACAAAUAACCCAAUUAAAAACAAUAAUAGCAACAAUAAAAAAAGAAAAGAUAAAGAAGAAAGCAGUGGUUUUCUUUGGCUAGCUGAGGAACUUUCUACUAGGUGUUAGCAAUUGCUUUGCAAACUUUUUUUUUUUUUUUCAGCAAAUGCUUCAUUCUCUAGACAAAUUUCAAGAAUUUUCAAGCAUCAGCAGACUCAAUUCUUCACCCCCAUUUUAACAAAGAAACAGCUGAAUGCCUGUGUUUAACAGUCAAGCCCAUUAAACCUGUGAUUUGUACGUUGCUCACACUCUUUAUUCCUAUUAGCAAGAGAUGCUAGGAGAACUUCUUGGUCAUCAAUUUGAUGAGUUCUGAGGGGAAUGUGGGUUUAGGUUGUGGCGUUCAUAUACAUAGACAUCUGGCUGAACACAUGUACCUAAGAGUCCUCUAGUUUUCCUUGCUCUACUGAAAAUAAAGACAGAAUGUGUAAAAUA